rnacentral:rRNA from 1 species
AACGUGCCCUGUAGUGGGGGAUAACUAGUCGAAAGAUUAGCUAAUACCGCAUACGACCUGAGGGUGAAAGUGGGGGACCGCAAGGCCUCAUGCUAUAGGAGCGGCCGAUGUCUGAUUAGCUAGUUGGUGGGGUAAAGGCCCACCAAGGCGACGAUCAGUAGCUGGUCUGAGAGGACGAUCAGCCACACUGGGACCGAGACACGGCCCAGACUCCUACGGGAGGCAGCAGUGGGGAAUUUUGGACAAUGGGCGAAAGCCUGAUCCAGCAAUGCCGCGUGUGUGAAGAAGGCCUUCGGGUUGUAAAGCACUUUUGUCCGGAAAGAAAUGGCUCUGGUUAAUACCUGGGGUCGAUGACGGUACCGGAAGAAUAAGGACCGGCUAACUACGUGCCAGCAGCCGCGGUAAUACGUAGGGUCCAAGCGU